rnacentral:rRNA from 1 species
UACGGAGGGUCCAAGCGUUAUCCGGAAUCAUUGGGUUUAAAGGGUCCGUAGGCGGUUUUGUAAGUCAGUGGUGAAAGCCCAUCGCUCAACGGUGGAACGGCCAUUGAUACUGCAAGACUUGAAUUACUAGGAAGUAACUAGAAUAUGUAGUGUAGCGGUGAAAUGCUUAGAUAUUACAUGGAAUACCAAUUGCGAAGGCAGGUUACUACUAGUGGAUUGACGCUGAUGGACGAAAGCGUGGGGAGCAAACAGG